AGUGAACGCUGGCGGUAGACCUAACACAUGCAAGUCGAACGGCAGCACAGUAAGAGCUUGCUCUUACGGGUGGCGAGUGGCGGACGGGUGAGGAAUACAUCGGAAUCUACUUUUUCGUGGGGGAUAACGUAGGGAAACUUACGCUAAUACCGCAUACGACCUACGGGUGAAAGCAGGGGAUCUUCGGACCUUGCGCGAUUGAAUGAGCCGAUGUCGGAUUAGCUAGUUGGCGGGGUAAAGGCCCACCAAGGCGACGAUCCGUAGCUGGUCUGAGAGGAUGAUCAGCCACACUGGAACUGAGACACGGUCCAGACUCCUACGGGAGGCAGCAGUGGGGAAUAUUGGACAAUGGGCGCAAGCCUGAUCCAGCCAUACCGCGUGGGUGAAGAAGGCCUUCGGGUUGUAAAGCCCUUUUGUUGGGAAAGAAAAGCAGCAGGUUAAUACCCCGCUGUUCCGACGGUACCCAAAGAAUAAGCACCGGCUAACUUCGUG
rnacentral:rRNA from 1 species